rnacentral:pre_miRNA from 1 species
UAGGUUUGUCCUAAGUCAAACUUCCUGAAGUUUGACCACAUUUAUAUAAAAAACUAAUAUCCACAACAUCAAAUAUAUAUAGUAUGAAAAUAUACUUUAUGUUGAAUCUAAUGAAACUAAUUUGGUGUUGUAGAUGUUGCUACAUUUGUUUAUAGACUUAAGUCAAACCUAAAGAAGUUUGACUUAAGACAAACCUAG